rnacentral:rRNA from 1 species
AUUGAACGCUGGCGGAAUGCUUUACACAUGCAAGUCGAACGGCAGCGCGGACUUCGGUCUGGUGGCGAGUGGCGAACGGGUGAGUAAUGUAUCGGAACGUGCCCAGUCGUGGGGGAUAACGUAGUGAAAAUUACGCUAAUACCGCAUACGAUCUAUGGAUGAAAGCGGGGGAUCGCAAGACCUCGCGCGAUUGGCGCGGCCGAUAGCAGAUUAGGUAGUUGGUGGGGUAAAGGCCCACCAAGCCAACGAUCUGUAGCUGGUCUGAGAGGACGACCAGCCACACUGGAACUGAGACACGGUCCAGACUCCUACGGGAGGCAGCAGUGGGGAAUUUUGGACAAUGGGCGAAAGCCUGAUCCAGCCAUUCCGCGUGCAGGAUGAAGGCCCUCGGGUUGUAAACUGCUUUUGUACAGAACGAAAAGGUUUCUACUAAUACUGGGGGCUCAUGACGGUACCGUAAGAAUAAGCACCGGCUAACUACGUGCCAGCCGCCGCCGUAA